UAUAUUACUAUGGACCCGAGGGCAGUUCUCGGCAUCUCCACCA
rnacentral:tmRNA from 1 species